rnacentral:rRNA from 1 species
GAUGAACGCUGGCGGCGUGCCUAAUACAUGCAAGUCGAGCGAACAGACGAGGAGCUUGCUCCUCUGACGUUAGCGGCGGACGGGUGAGUAACACGUGGAUAACCUACCUAUAAGACUGGGAUAACUUCGGGAAACCGGAGCUAAUACCGGAUAAUAUAUUGAACCGCAUGGUUCAAUAGUGAAAGACGGUUUUGCUGUCACUUAUAGAUGGAUCCGCGCCGCAUUAGCUAGUUGGUAAGGUAACGGCUUACCAAGGCAACGAUGCGUAGCCGACCUGAGAGGGUGAUCGGCCACACUGGAACUGAGACACGGUCCAGACUCCUACGGGAGGCAGCAGUAGGGAAUCUUCCGUAAUGGGCGAAAGCCUGACGGAGCAACGCCGCGUGAGUGAUGAAGGUCUUCGGAUCGUAAAACUCUGUUAUUAGGGAAGAACAAAUGUGUAAGUAACUAUGCACGUCUUGACGGUACCUAAUCAGAAAGCCACGGCUAACUACGU